GCGCACAUCGUACCAGGAAAUGAAAAGACGACUGCGGAUCUUCAAGGGAUAGGAUGGUUGUGGAUCAGAUGAUUAUAUAAAAGUAUAAUGUGCCCGUGUCACCAACGGAUGAUCGAGAUGGUAUGUCCGGUAUCACUUUAAAUGUUCACAACUCUCAGGAUGGCGUAUUUCUGCCUGCCGCUUAUUUCCUGCUUGACCUUGUGAACUCGUCCGUGUGACCCGGAAAAAUCACUUCCAAUUCUCAUCUUUUAUUUUGAUAUGCCUGGGCUUGUUAUGUAUUACCCAGACAGGAUGUGACAUCACCGGGUCCAAACGUCAGGACGGGCUGUCUAGGAUGUCCAGAACCCGUGCUGCUGGAGGAUGCUUCCUCGCAGCGGGGUCCAGACAAGUGAUGCUCGCUGGAGGAUGUAGGAUUGAACCAAGCAGGCGAGACAGAGGCACAGGAGACUGAAAAAUCUCUAUUUCCUCUACUUCCUGGUUUGAGUAUGACCCCUCACCUGGCUUGUGACCCUUCAACUUGAUAUCACUCCUAAGAGUUGGCUCUGGGGUAGACUACUCCUGUUGAACCACAGUGUUAGACCAGCACCCUGUCUACAACAUCACAGCCAGUCAACACUGGGGCUGUGACUACUGGCAUGACUGGGACCAGUGUGACCCAGACUCCUCUCCUCCAUACUCAGAAUGCAGCAGCUGAUCCCCCACCAGGGGCACCUGGCUCCCCUCCGUCCUCUGGCUGGAUCAAUGACUAGAGCCAUCCCAUCCCAGGGACCAGGGGUCAGCAUCAAAAGCCCCCUGCCCACGUCCUUGCCACCUGGUGCUCUCUUUAGGACGAGGGGGUACACUUCCACCCCUCCACCCUCCUCCUGAACAGACCAGGCUGUUUGGACAUGGAGCCAGAACAGGGCCUUCGUGUGAUCUCCCGCGCCCCCUCCCCAGCCGCCCCCCACAGGGAGAGGGCCAGGGGUCAGCCCCAUCAGACCACCACACGGCUCACAGAGCCAUUUGAUGAGGGGAUCUGUUUUCGAUUUCAUAAUGCCCGCCGAAUCAUGAUCCUGAGCCCUACUCAACUUGGUUAUGAUGUGUUAAAUGUGUAAUCUGUUUGUCAAAAGCUUCAUGUUGGAAAAAUGUUUGUUUCCAGGGAUUUAUGGAUGUGAAGUUGACCUGGUCAAUUAAGGUUUGUAGAUGACUGUUUUCCUGAUUUGAACAUGCAGUACAUAUACAACAAUACUCACUUGACUUAAUUACGGGUUCAAAUGAACAUAUCAACAACAUACUGUUAUUUAUGAUACAGUUUAUUAGGUCAUUAAGUAAUUUGGGGCAUAUAUGACACCAUAUUGACAGUUCUGAUAAUUAAUCUGACAUGUUUCUGACUAAUCACAACAGGCUUCCAUUUCACUAACUCAUACACAAUAACGUACGAUGUGUCACUACCUCACAGUCCUACCAAUGAAUAACUGGACAUGCAGUAUUUAAAGAAAUGCAGCCACUCUUGAAGGACAAUAGAAGUUAAAUAUACGAGAGUAUGUUGUUAAAAUGAAUACCUUUUUGACAUUGAUGCCUUCAAUCCGGUGUUAGACUUUACUGACUGACUUUACUGACUCGUGGAAGUGUUUCAUGGUCCUUAAACUUGGAUACAACAUACCCAAUAUGAAUCCUCAGUUUCUCUGUGAUACAGAGCCUGUAUGUCGUUCAGGCUGUCAGUACAUCAUGAAUACAUAUUAAUGAACCCAGAUUUCUAAAUCUGUUUAUUGAGCUUCUUCUUCCAUUUCCUCCCUCCAUUCUUUCCUCCAGUGCGUUAGCAGAUCCCAGUAUGUCCCCUAGUCUUGUGACAAGGGAUGAAAAGGAGAGAAAAAAAGGUCUAAUGAGUUUGGCAAAAGGAGGACAGAGGGGGGAGACAGAUGGCAUGAAGUCUGCGUGGCUCUGGCGUGGCUCGCCUGGUGCUAAAAUCCUCCUCUCUCACAUUCCAACAAAUCCUAGCAGGAGGUUGGGGAGUCUGCCACACCACUCAGUGGAUCCACGGGGUUCUCUCGGCACCCCUUUCCUCGCUCCCCUGCACCCGCGUAAGUCCCUGACCAAGGGUGUCAGCCUCCCCAUACCAUAUCCCCACAUGUAUACAUAUAUUAACAUGUUUAUACAGUAUAUAUAGUAUGAUGGGCCAUUUUAUUGGCCUGCUAAGAUAAUAAACACAGGAGGGUGUGAGACAGAGAGACAGGCGCUGAUUGUUAGUAUGGAAUUGGGCGUGUGGGAUCAAAUUGGGAGUGGACCUAUCCCUCCACUCUAGUGUCAAAUCUCAUUGAGUAAACAUAGGACCAAAGCAUGGAGGCAAAGACUGUAAUCCAUUUAUAUGAGAGGAAGAAAACCUAAGUAGCUUUUCAAUUAGUUUCGCCACCCCCAGCUCCUGAUAAGGAGGAAACGCUGGCAAGUUGAGCCUGUCACAGGCCAGACAUGCCCUGCUCAGAUUGCCCCAUAUUCUCCUCAGUCGGUCCGUCGGUGGGGCUUAUGGCCAAAUGUACAGUAAGUGUAACUGCAUGGUAAUCACACACAGACAGUAUGCCCCACCACUGGCCCGCGGUGACCACAUGACGUCUUCAUGUGUUUCCACUUCUAAAUUGUUUUGGAUUGCAUUUGAAUUUUAGGAAUGUGCAUUGAGGAGCACCAUAUAAAAGUACAUCAGCGAUAUGAUAAUCAUGUUUAUAAUGUAUAUUACGGACAAUCUCUCUCAAUAUUCUCUCUCUCUCUUUAUUCUCUCUCUCUCUCUCUCUUUAUUCUCUCUCUCUCUCUCUUUUGUCUCUCUGUCUGUCUCUCUGUGUAUAAUUGACUGUAUAGUGCACACUAUCAAUCUCUAACACACUUUUUUCUCUCUCUCUCUCUCUGCAUGUAUAUAUUGUGUAUAAUGUACUGUGCAGUGUACACUAUCAAUCUUUAUCUCACUAUCUCUCUCUCCCUCUCUCUCUCUCUCCCUCUCUCUCUCUCUCUCUCUCUCUCCCUCUCUCUCGGCACUUUGCCUUCUGCUCGUGCUAUUGAGUGGCUCUUAUGGGAAUGGAGGAUGCUGUGAAAAGGUCACAGGAGGUUUGAGUAUCAAAUUACUGUUAAUGAUAAUGAUAAUAAAAAGAGAAAUUUGCUCCAAAUCUA